AUUGAACGCUGGCGGCAUGCCUUACACAUGCAAGUCGAACGGCAGCACGGGAGCAAUCCUGGUGGCGAGUGGCGAACGGGUGAGUAAUAUAUCGGAACGUGCCCAGUUGUGGGGGAUAACGCAGCGAAAGCUGUGCUAAUACCGCAUACGAUCUAAGGAUGAAAGCGGGGGAUCGCAAGACCUCGCGCGAUUGGAGCGGCCGAUAUCAGAUUAGCUAGUUGGUGGGGUAAGGGCCCACCAAGGCGACGAUCUGUAGCUGGUCUGAGAGGACGACCAGCCACACUGGAACUGAGACACGGUCCAGACUCCUACGGGAGGCAGCAGUGGGGAAUUUUGGACAAUGGGCGCAAGCCUGAUCCAGCAAUGCCGCGUGCAGGAUGAAGGCCUUCGGGUUGUAAACUGCUUUUGUACGGAACGAAACGGCCCUUUCUAAUACAGGGGGCUAAUGACGGUACCGUAAGAAUAAGCACCGGCUAACUACGUGCCAGCCGCCGCCGUAACAC
rnacentral:rRNA from 1 species